rfam:Mus musculus type 2 deiodinase mRNA, complete cds.
GUGUGCGAAUGAUAACUACUGACGAAAGAGCUGUCUGCUCAGUCUGUGGUUGGAUGUAGUCACAC